rnacentral:lncRNA from 1 species
CCGGUGCCCGGUUCCGGUGCCGCCGCUGUUCCGGUGCCGGUGCCGGUGACCGAUUCCGGUGCCGCCGCUGUUGCGGUGCCCGGUUCCGGUGCCCGGUUCCGAUGCCCGGUGCCGGUGACCGGUUCCGGUGCCGUCGCUGUUCCGGUGCCCGGUUCCGGUGCCCGGUUCCGGUGCCCAGUUCCGAUGCCCGGUGCCGGUGCCCGGUUCCGGUGCCCGGUUCCGGUGCCCGGUGCCGCCGCGGUUCCGGUGCCCGGCGCGGGCCCAGCCCGGUGCGCGGCGCUGUUGCACCGGAGUUGAGCGGGACGAGCGCGGCCGCCGGGAAAUGUCGCCGUGCUCUCCUCAGGGACACGGGGAACUGUGGGAUACUGGAACUCCCUGUGCUGGCUUUGGCACGGAUAUUCUCCGGGUCCAGACUGAAAAUACUCCUUCAGGUUGGGUGUUGUCUGAAUUUGUCAGUCCCUGUGACUGCUCUUCUGUCAUUCCUACUGUUGCACUGGGGCGAGUGA